CGACCCUCUUCCGAUCUGGAUAAAAUGAUUUCUUUCACCUUACAAUCCCAAAUAAUUCGCUUAGGAGUCAGUACAUAAAGAUUUAAUUUCAUUUCUGCGAUUUGUUCUCCUCUUCUAAGGUUAUAGCUUUCGUGCUAGCUUCAUCGAUGUUACCCACCAAAUAAAAAGCCUGUUCAGGUAGGCCGUCUAAUUCUCCGGAAAGGAUUAGUUGAAAUCCCCUAAUAGUUUCCGCAAGA